GACGAACGCUGGCGGCGUGCUUAACACAUGCCAGUCGAACGGAAAGGCCCUGCUUUUGUGGGGUGCUCGAGUGGCGAACGGGUGAGUAACACGUGAGUAACCUGCCCUUGACUUUGGGAUAACUUCAGGAAACUGGGGCUAAUACCGGAUAGGAGCUCCUGCUGCAUGGUGGGGGUUGGAAAGUUUCGGCGGUUGGGGAUGGACUCGCGGCUUAUCAGCUUGUUGGUGGGGUAGUGGCUUACCAAGGCUUUGACGGGUAGCCGGCCUGAGAGGGUGACCGGCCACAUUGGGACUGAGAUACGGCCCAGACUCCUACGGGAGGCAGCAGUGGGGAAUAUUGCACAAUGGGCGGAAGCCUGAUGCAGCAACGCCGCGUGCGGGAUGACGGCCUUCGGGUUGUAGACCGCUUUCGCCUGUGGCGAAGCGUGAGUGACGGUAAUGGGUAAAGAAGCACCGGCUAACUACGUG
rnacentral:rRNA from 1 species